UUCCUUCCAUCGUAUCAUAACUUCUCUUUAAACUGAUUUCAUGAGCAGUCCUUGGACUCCUGGUUCCUUCUCGGACGUUCUUAAUAGCUGCUAAAUUAUACAGAUGUGUAGUAAGGAAAAGUUUUCCUACCAGGUUUGGCAGACUCCUGUUGCCUCGGCAGGCCAAGAGAUAUGGAUCCCACAGAUGGCUUUGCUGGUUCUUGACUAUAAGAAGCUUGACUAUGGGAUGUUAAGUUAACUCAAUAAGUUUGAUUUAAGGAUCUAAGUUGGUCCACCCAAGGAUGUACAACAUUGGAAGAGAUUUUAUCACUGACUCUCAAAGCAUUCGCGGACCAGACGACAGCACCUCUAGCAUCACUGCAUCCACCACAUUAAUUCUAGACUAGUUUACUGCCUUGCCACAGUUCCAGGUUCUUGGUACACCCUUUCCUAACAGAAGGGCUUCCAGCAGGAUGCAUUUUUCUCUUCACACAACUACAUGUAAGGUACUAUAGGGCAGUUUGUAAUUUGCUUGCUAAUUACUUUAUGAAACCUAUUCCAUGAAAUUGGUGAUCAACGUACACAGAGAUGAAACAUUAGCAAAGGGUCUAGUAGAUUCCAGUAAUUGAUUCUUGCAGUUUAUAAUCCAGAAGUUGACCCAUGUUUCAAUAUCUAGGGUUGCUUAGUUCUUGAGUUUUCAAAAAAGACGUCGCCUACCUUCCC